GUAAAGAACAGGUCCUGGAGAGAAGCAAAGUCCCAGCUGCUGGCCAGGGAGGUCACCUGAAGGAUCUGAAACAGCCGAGGCAGGCGAAGCAGAAGAGCCAGCUGGGGAGAGGAAAGUCACAGAGCACUGACACGCUGGCUCCCUCGGCAGGACUCACUGUGAAGGCAGCAGACAUACGUCACUGAAACAACAGCUUCAGGGGAGCUGGACAUGCCAAGUGUCAUUAUCUGGCGCCACUCAAGAAGAUGACAGUCUUUAAACCUGGCUCCUUCUCCCAAACACAGUCUGAGGGAGACGUGAACAGAACUGGCCCUCCUUGGGAAGGCUGAGGGUGCAGGGCAAGGACCAGAAGUUCGGGGAUGAGGGCUGCUUUGAUCUCACACAGUCUUGCAUCUAGAAUUUUGGGGUCUCUGUCUGGAGAUGAACUGCAGGGGAAGACAUUGGGAUGAGAGUCCUUGACUGGCUUGAUAACUAGUCUCAGGGCUGGUUUUACGUGCUCACAGGGCCUCCUCACACACACAUGGCACGUUCCCAUCUCUGUGUUUUGGUCUUUGAACGCUGAUCUUCCCCUCAGCUGUGUGUGGGAUGCAGGCCUGUAUUCUCUUCAUUUGACAGUGAGGAAGCUGAGCCUCACGGGUGGGGGCAUUUGCUCAAGGUCACACAGGUACCGCAUGGGAGGCAGGGCUGGAACCCAGGCACCAGACCCCAGCCCAUUGUUUUUCUUCCUGUCUUUGAAAAGACCCCACAUUGCUUUAAGUUCUAAUCCUGCUUCUGCGGCCUUAGGAAAGACGAACAGCAGCCAUCGUUCUUGUUUCCAGAUGGGGAAACCAAGGCACAGCGAUAUUUGCUCCUGACUGUUUGGUUGUGGAAUGCUCACCAUGAACGCCAUGAGCAAGGAGGCUCAGAAGAGGAAGCAGGAAGGCAUGACAGCGGGCAGGAGACAUGAAGAGAAAGAGAGAGU